CAGCCUCCCUCCUGACCCAAAAUGACAGAUUAUCCUCGUCCCCAGCAACCUGGCAGCACGUGAAUGGAAACAGCACAGCAAGUCUCUCACUUUCGAUAGAUUGGAUGUCAAGAAUAAAGAGUAAUAUGAUAAUAGCAAGAAGUACCAAAAUAGACUAUUGGAGAUGAGGAGAAUUUCUUAAAAGACAAUAAAAUGGAGAAGUCACUUCGAGGUGAAAGUACUGGCAUUUACUUUAUGGAAGAAAAGAAAAACAGGAAAGAAAUUUAAAUACAACAAGAAAAACUAAUACAUCAAACAUGCCUGAAGUUCAGCCCUGAAUGUAGCCUGUGCUCAAACUGCGAUUCCUACUACACAAAAAUGAGCAAUUAAAAUACAGUGUGAUAGACUCCCACUUCUAGCCAACUGGUACCAGACUUGCCUUCCUGCCAUAAAUAACUGGAAAAAUGGACCAGAUAUAUUAAACAGCUCUUUUCAGGCAUUGGACAGCUGGCAUCUGAGCAAUGUGAUCCUUUGGAGAAGGGAA